rnacentral:rRNA from 1 species
GACGAACGCUGGCGGCGUGCUUAACACAUGCAAGUCGAACGGAAAGGCCCUGCUUUUGUGGGGUGCUCGAGUGGCGAACGGGUGAGUAACACGUGAGUAACCUGCCCUUCAUUUUGGGAUAACUUCAGGAAACUGGGGUUAAUACCGGAUAGGAGCUCCUGCUGCAUGGUGGGGGUUGGAAAGUUUCGGCGGGUGGGUAUGGACUCGCGGCUUAUCAACUAGUUGGUGGGGUAGUGGCUUACCAAGGCUUUGACGGGUAGCCGGCCUUAGAGGGUGACCGGCGACAUUGGGACUGAGAAACGGCCCAGACUCCUACGGGAGGCAGCAGUGGGAAAUAUUGCACAAUGGGCGGAAGCCUGAUGCAGCAACGCCGCGUGCGGGAUGACGGCCUUCGGGUUGUAAACCGCUUCCGCCUGUGACGAAGCGUGAGUGACGGUAAUGGGUAAAGAAGCACCGGCUAACUACGUG